GCCCUAAUGGUCUAAUGGAUAUGACAAUAGAUUCCGGUUCUAUUAAUGCGGGUUCGAUUCCUGCUUAGGGCACCA
rnacentral:tRNA from 1 species